UCACUUGUAUCAAUUAGGCAUCAUUGAGCAUGCAAUUUGAAUUAUUUCUCAUUCAAUUAUGAACAACAAAAAUUUAAAUCAAACCAUUUCUAGGAUUUCAAUUGGGGAAAAAUGUUUACCGAUUGGGAUUUCUUGCACUGGCCUUCAGGCGUGGAUAUUGCUCUGGCAUAAUGGAGGGAGGCAGAAGCACCAACGGGAAAGCGAAGAGUAUGCUCCUUCAGCAUGAUGGAAGGAGGCGGCAACCGAUGGAGGAUCAACAAGAUAGAGGGAGGCGGCCACCGAUGGAGAGAUCAAUAACGUGAGG
rnacentral:lncRNA from 1 species